rnacentral:rRNA from 1 species
AACGAACGCUGGCGGCAUGCCUAACACAUGCAAGUCGAACGAGACCUUCGGGUCUAGUGGCGCACGGGUGCGUAACGCGUGGGAACCUGCCCUUAGGUUCGGUAUAACUCCCCGAAAGGGGUGCUAAUACCGGAUAAUGUCUUCGGACCAAAGAUUUAUCGCCUUUGGAUGGGCCCGCGUUGGAUUAGCUAGUUGGUAGGGUAAAAGCCUACCAAGGCGACGAUCCAUAGCUGGUCUGAGAGGAUGAUCAGCCACACUGGGACUGAGACACGGCCCAGACUCCUACGGGAGGCAGCAGUGGGGAAUAUUGGACAAUGGGCGAAAGCCUGAUCCAGCAAUGCCGCGUGAGUGAUGAAGGCCUUAGGGUUGUAAAGCUCUUUUACCCGGGAUGAUAAUGACAGUACCGGGAGAAUAAGCUCCGGCUAACUCCGUG